rnacentral:rRNA from 1 species
UAGCCUUGCGGCCGUACUCCCCAGGCGGAGAACUUAACGCGUUACUACGGCACAGCAGAGGUCAAUAUCCGCUGCACCUUAGUUCUCAUCGUUUACGGCGUGGACUACCAGGGUAUCUAAUCCUGUUUGCUCCCCACGCUUUCGCGUCUCAGCGUCAGUAAAUGUCCAGGUGGCCGCCUUCGCCACUGAUGUUCCUCCCGAUAUCUACGAAUUUCACCUCUACACCGGGAAUUCCGCCACCCUCUCCAUUACUCAAGACAAGCAGUUUCGGAUGCAGUUCCUAGGUUGAGCCCAGGGAUUUCACAACCGACUUGCGGGUCCGCCUACACGCGCUUUACGCCCAGUAAAUCCGAGCAACGUUUGCACCCUCCGUAUUACCGCGGCUGCUGGCACAGAGUUAGCCGGUGCUUGCUAAGGAGGUACCGUCAAGGCGCAACCAUUUCCUGAUGCGCUGUUUCGUCUCUCCCCACAGUGCUUUACGACCCGAAGCCUUCAUCACACACGCGGCGUGGCUGGGUCAGGCUUUCGCCCAUUGCCCAAUAUUCCUCA